UACGGGGGGGGCAAGCGUUGUUCGGAAUUACUGGGCGUAAAGGGCUCGUAGGUGGCCAACUAAGUCAGACGUGAAAUCCCUCGGCUUAACCGGGGAACUGCGUCUGAUACUGGAUGGCUAGAGUCCGGAAGAGGAGAGUGGAAUUCCUGGUGUAGCGGUGAAAUGCGCAGAUAUCAGGAAGAACACCAAUGGCGAAGGCAGCUCGCUGGGACGGUACUGACACUGAGACGCGAAAGCGUGGGGAGCGAACAGG
rnacentral:rRNA from 1 species